rnacentral:rRNA from 1 species
UACGUAGGUUCCGAGCGUUGUCCGGAUUUAUUGGGCGUAAAGCGAGCGCAGGUGGUUUAUUAAGUCUGGUGUAAAAGGCAGUGGCUCAACCAUUGUAUGCAUUGGAAACUGGUAGACUUGAGUGCAGGAGAGGAGAGUGGGAUUCCAUGUGUAGCGGUGAAAUGCGUAGAUAUAUGGAGGAACACCGGUGGCGAAAGCGGCUCUCUGGCCUGUAACUGACACUGAGGCUCGAAAGCGUGGGGAGCAAACAGG